rnacentral:lncRNA from 1 species
GCGCUCGGACGCGCCCGCGCCCCGCCGCCCGCAGACCGUGGAGCCUGCAGCCGCUGCCCUGGGCUGCCUGUUGCUGCUCCUGAUGAUUGACAGGCCGGCGCACAGUCGGCGUGUCACCGGCAAACCCAAGUAACAUGCAGUCUCGCACGUUUUUGCCGAAGUGCUUUGGCCCCUUGGAAUGCCGCGGAACGCCUCUGCGCAUUGGAAAUCAAUACGCGGAAACGAGAAAUUCAGGCACAUGUACAGCCACUGCAGCUGUUCCUUAUCCAGGGCAUGGAGCUCUGUCAGCCGCUAUCACUCAGCAAACCACUGCAUGCCUUACAGAGCGAUCCCACUCCGGUUCCGCAGAAUUUCAGCUCCUAGCCGCCACCUCCACCUCCACCGCAGGACCCGCCUCCAGUGAUAUCAUGUGUCAGUCACACGGGCCGCCCGAAAACCUGGAACAGGAUUUCCUCAACUGGCCUUUGCUUUUUCGUUUACAUGUACCAACUUGGAAACGUUACCUUGCAUUCUGCCUCUAAAAAAUAGGGAUUGCCUAUAAAAAUCUUGCAAAUUGCAAUUUGUCAUGAAAAAUACAUCCGAAUUUAGUUAUCGAUCUCCGAUUUAAAGGAAAUUGUGGACUCCAACCUUGAAUUAGAAAAGAAUUCUGAAGAAUGAGAGAUGAAAAAAUUGCAUGCCAAACCAUCACUUCUGAUUAACUAGAGGGAAAGUGUGUAUUGAUCAUUUAAAACUCGGAACAUUACAUUUAUCUAAAACAAGUUUCAGAAUAUGUGAAAUCUGAAAUUUCAAAAAGUUGCACUCUUUUUUGCAAAUAUAACGAUAUGAUAUAGCAUAAAAGUGAAGUUGCCUGCUCUGAGUUUUUAGAUAAUGGGUCUAUCUUGGAUUGUGAUAUAAUUUCCCAAAUAUCAAUUACAUGAAAAAAUUUUAUUAUAUAGUUGUAUAAUUUUCCAAAGCAAAAAAAAAUUUAAUCGGCUAAAAAGCAAUUAAUUAAAAUAGAAAUAAUUUACUAAGAAGUUUUAUAAUUCUUGAUAUGAUGUAUCACUGAAUAAAAAAACCUUAGUAAGAAGGAAACUUGCUUUCAGGUGCUUUACAAACUAUAGGAUUUUUGACGUUACCCACUAGUUCAUGCUGCACUAAAGAUAGCUAUAUGUAAAUUGUAAGGUUCUAUAGAGACUUUUAAGAGAUAGAUAAAAACUAAGAGCGUACAGUUAGUAGAAAAAUGUUUUUCCUGGUACCAAGCAUCAGGGACAGAAUAAAGUCUUUGGCAAAAAAAAAAAAAAAAUCUAGAAUCUAAAUCAUAUACAUAUUUGAGUAUUAAUAUUUUAGUUCAAAGUAAUAUUUUAAAAAUCUUUACAACAGCACGUGAUUCUGUGGAAACAUUUUUUUGCCCCAUACUGGACUCUCAAAUGCUUGAACGCUUUUGAAAAUUUAACUUGUGUUUGAAAUUGCUUUUAAGAAAUCCAGGGCACCACUGAGAACAUCAAGAAGAAAGCAUCACCAGAAAAAUAACGAAGAAAAGAAUGAUGGCAAGAAGCUACAUAUUCACCCUUAAUAGAAAAUGUAUUAAAAGAAUCUAUUUUGAAAUAUAACAUUGAAUUUAUGAUACUAUAAAUUGCAUUAAAAUUGUUUAUUUCAAAACAAAAUUCGUUUUAUCAUACAUUUUUCAUAAAUCUCAUUAAAUUUGAGGAUAUAGUGAAAUUUCACCAAUGAUAGAUAGGUAUUUUGUGAAUGGAUUUGGAAUAUUUAAAUCAGAACUAGAAUAUCACAUCAAAAUAUCUUCUUUGGUUCUUUCAAAUUGUCUUCUCAGCAGUCAUCACAAUUUUAGGAUGAGAGGUCAGUUCACCAUUAUGGUAAAACCAGGAGAGGGAGCACUGAACAUUCUUAUUCCAUAAAUCUCACAAAUGCAUAUUUGAAAGUUUUCUAUUACAAAUAAACUUCAAAGCACUGCAUUCAAUCAGAUUUAUUAAAAUAACUUUCAUGAUGUUAUUUGAAAGUUAUAACAAUACAAUCAUCAGAUUUUAUCUAAAACACUAUCAAUCAUGUUUACUUAGAAAUAAAAUGUAUAAAAUGAAUCAAUGAAAUGGUAUCAUUUAGCAUUAAAAUGCAUCACUAUAUCUUCCUCUAAAUAUUAAAUUACAAGUAAAUGUAAAAAUAGGUUUUCACUUUAUAGCUAGAAGACAUUUAAUGAAACCUACUCCUUUUUAUUGCCCACAACUAUAAAACUUGGUAGGAAUUCUAAAUUUUUAGGUGAAAAUAGGCAUUCUUUAUUCAGUAAGUUUAAUUAUAGGAUACCUUGGCUAGAAAUGGUAACUGGAGUGUGAAACUUUUCUGAAAGGAAAAACAAUGUAAAUAUCAAUGGGAAAACCUUAUAAUUUUUAGUUUACUAUAGUAAGAUAUGUUUAAAUAAAAUGGAAUGCAAGGUGAACCCUGACUUCUUCUUUCUCCUUUGUAAACGAUUAGCUAUCUCUUCUGCUGAUUUGAUUUUUGAAAAAGAAAAAGGCGCGGGGGGUGUGGUGUGGUGUGGUAAAUCCUCACAACUGCUAGUGGUUAAAAAAAAUUAAACAGUAGAGUAGUAAAAUACUUUAAUUACUCAUUUAUUUACUUUAUUUGCCAAAAUAAAACAGCAGAACCACAAUGUGUUCCAAGCUUUUAAAAAAUGAUACUUUAUUCUCCCAAUUUUUGUGGUCAUGAUAAAUUACAUUAUUACUAACAAUUAUAUUAUCACUCAAUUAUAACCUCUUAUUGGGAAAAUGAUCACAGAAUUUGAUUAGUGUAUAAGAGUCCAAUAAAUCAAUGAAGAACUAGUAAUGGAAACUAAGUUCUCAUUACUUUCCUUUUAGGGCAAUAGUCAAUAUAUUACUCCACUUCCCAAGAAAAGUUGCCAAGGAUAGGCCAUGUUAUUUUCAGUUUCCUUUUGUAAACAAUCUUUGUAGUUGACAAAAAUAGACUAACCUAUCUGUAAAUUUUCCAUAAACAUUCUCCUCAUUUUUGUAAGUGUAAUUCUCAUCAUCUGUCUCAUUUAAAAUACUCAUGUUCUGUAUUGGUUUCAAAUUCUGGAAGUGGGCAAAUCAAGCAAUGCAUUGAGUCAAUUACACUGAACGAUUUGUAGUUUCUGUCAGCUCUAUACAUUUGUGCACAUUGUCACAAGUGAUUUAUUUUUCUGCAGUUGUGAGGAAGAAAAAAAAAAGAAAUGCAUAUGGAAGGGAUCUCAAUGGGUGCCCUUUGUUCCUGAUGUGCUUUCUUUAUGAAGGGACAAGUUCGAAUAAACCUCAUCACCACUAUAUAGCAAAAAUUUGACUAAUUAAACCCACAAGGAAAGUUUAAGGAAAUAUAUUUACCUUAGUACAAAACAGUGUUCAUUUAUUAUCUAGCCAAUUGCAUAAUAAAUCCUGUCCUCUUUAUUCCUCCAGUGAUGUUAAACACUCCAACACAAGUGAGCCUUGACUUGUUCUUCAUUUUCAUAGGAAAACAACAUUGGCUAUCUUUUCUGCUGAUUUGACUUUUGAAAUGAGGAACGGAAUGUCCUCAUAAAGAUUACUGGUAUCUUUGAUUCUGGUCAACAAAAGUUAUUAAUCUCUCAUUUCCAUAACUCCCUACAGCUAUCUUCAUCUUUAGAGAUAGACACGUAAGAAUCAAAGUUGAUUUAACCUGUAUCUGCCUCCCAAAGAUAGAACAGUAAGAAAAUAAAAUCGUAUUUUCAUUAAAACAAAACUUAGGGUUUGCUUUCAUCUUUGUUGUCCACUGAAUUAAUCUAUGUCAUAACUUACAGUUGUUCCUUUUUCUGUGAAAAAAAUGGUGUAUCAAUAAAGCAGUCAUAUAGUUCCUUAUGAAUGCUUAAUAUUGAAAAAAGAUAACACACAAAACUUAGCAAAAGAAAUGUUGCUUUUCAAGAAGGAUUUAUACUUAGAGUUUUCCUUAAUAAUUUUCUUGGAGCAUUUAAAAUAAUUUAAUUUAUAAAAUAUUUCAAAUGGCUAUAAUAAUUGAUCAUAUACAUGUAUUGAAAAUCUGAAUUUUACCUAUGUCAUCCUUCUAUAUCUUGGUUUAUAAAUUACCUAAUGCCAUAGUCAUCCAUGACACCCCAUGUCCAGUGUGACAGGUAGAAAGAACAUGUGUUAUGAAAAAGAGUACCAAAUGUAGGAGCAGAUAGUGUGAAGUUCAGACUUAGCCACUUUCCAGCUAGGUGGGCUAGAUGACCCUCAAUUUCUCUGAGCUUCCUUCCUCAUAACCCUGAAAUUAAUAAAAAUACUUUGCCUUCCUAAAUCUUAGUGUCACCAAAAUACUUAAAUAUAUACAAGUGCUUUAUAAGCUUUAGAGAUCUAUAUAAAU